UACGGGGGGGGCAAGCGUUGUUCGGAAUUACUGGGCGUAAAGGGCUCGUAGGUGGCCAACUAAGUCAGACGUGAAAUCCCUCGGCUUAACCGGGGAACUGCAUCUGAUACUGGAUGGCUUGAGAUUGGGAGAGGGAUGCGGAAUUCCAGGUGUAGCGGUGAAAUGCGUAGAUAUCUGGAGGAACACCGGUGGCGAAGGCGGGUCUCUGGGCCGAUACUGACGCUGAGGAGCGAAAGCGUGGGGAGCGAACAGG
rnacentral:rRNA from 1 species